rnacentral:rRNA from 1 species
GAUGAACGCUGGCGGCGUGCUUAACACAUGCAAGUCGAACGAAGCACUUUACUUGAUCUUUUCGGAGUGAUUGUUUUGUGACUGAGUGGCGGACGGGUGAGUAACGCGUGGGUAACCUGCCUCACACAGGGGGAUAACAGUUGGAAACGGCUGCUAAUACCGCAUAAGCGCACAGUACCGCAUGGUACGGUGUGAAAAACUCCGGUGGUGUGAGAUGGACCCGCGUCUGAUUAGCUAGUUGGCAGGGCAACGGCCUACCAAGGCGACGAUCAGUAGCCGACCUGAGAGGGUGACCGGCCACAUUGGGACUGAGACACGGCCCAAACUCCUACGGGAGGCAGCAGUGGGGAAUAUUGCACAAUGGGGGAAACCCUGAUGCAGCGACGCCGCGUGAGCGAAGAAGUAUUUCGGUAUGUAAAGCUCUAUCAGCAGGGAAGAAGAAAUGACGGUACCUGACUAAGAAGCACCGGCUAAAUACGUGCCAGCAGCCGCCGCGG